GCAGUCCCUGAUGACUAAUGAGCUAGGAGCAAGGCAGACUUGGCAGUACAUCAGGGGUCUCUGCUAGCCCUUCUCAGACUCUCACAUGGAGCAGCAGUGAACACUGGUUAUUCCCAACAUCAUCAGUUAACUGCCACGCUGCUUUCUGCAAGGCUGUGAGAUCCCUGGAAAAAAGGUCCAUCACAGAUUUGGGGGACUCUGUCUGCAUUGUCCUGUCAGACCCAGGAUGACAACUCAGCCACAGUCUGGAGCAGUUAUGGUCACUGUAACACAAGGACUGUAGAAAGGAAUGUGCUGAAUCACACAUCGGUUCUCAGACUCUCUGCCCAGAGACAACACCUUCCUAUUUGAUUGUUCAACUCCAUUGGUAAGGGCAGAAUAACACAGUCCUGCCAUGUGCUUGGAAGAUGAGCAAGUGUCCCUAGUGACAUGGAGGACACGACAAUUCACUUGGUCCCAACAGCAGGUGAGGACACUGUGUCCCAGCAACUUCAGCAUGUGUUUGUAUGAACAUAUGUAAAGGAUGUCAUAUUAAAUAAAAAUGAACUUCAUAAAAGUUUAUCU